AGGCGCUGAGAGUACAGCCGAACAUUGUUUUUCCUGGAUCUCCAGGUUCUUUUAUUUGGAAGCCUUGCCAGGGACCAGGCCAGGAAGGCCUAGGGAGCAUCUUUAGCUGGGUGCAGGCCCCACAAAACACAGAACGGCAGUUGGGAGGAGCCUAAGGGAGGAGUGAGCUGGGGAAUAGCUCAGGGUGGCUCACCAUGAACAAAGCUGGAGGCAGACUGACUUAUAAGGACAGAGGGGCAGAGGUGGAGGAACCCUGCGACUACCUGGGGCAAGAGUUUUCUCCAUAGCAGAGCCUUGAGCUCUUUCCCCUUUUUGGUUUUGGUUUUACUGUGUAGCUCUGGCAGGCCUAGAACUUAAGUACAUUAGACCAGAUUCUUCUGCCCCUGGUCUCCCAGGUGCUGCGAGUAAAGGCGCACACACAUCACUACACCCAGUUUCCUUUUAGACAUCUGAGUCAGCAUUGUUAAGUUGUUUACAGACCUUGUGGUCCUCCUACUUCAGCACUGAGUCCAGGGGAUUUGAGGUACGCUGCUGACAGGCUCUACUUCCUUUUCUGUCUUGAAGUUAUUUCAAAUAUCCGGAAAUGGCCGAGUGUGGCGGUGCACACCUUCAAUCCCAGCAUUUAUGAGGCCGAGCAGUCUUUGUGGUUGACACCAGCCUGGUCUGCACAGUGAGCUUCAGACCAGCCAGUGCCACAUAGUAAACUCCUGUCUCAAAACAAACAAAGGCAGUGUCAGAAUAAGUGUCAGUGUUCUGUUAUUCCACUCUUAAUGCCUUAGCGCACACUUUCUGUAAACAAGGGUAUUCUUGUAUAUAACUACUGUAAACACAGAUGAGUUGCGGAGUGUAUUCUGGCAUUCAGGACUCAGAGAGAUUAUGAAUUCCCACCCCCACCCCUUUUUUUUCUGGCUGGUCUUGAACUCACAGAGAUCUGCUUGCCUCUCUCUUCCUUGUGGUCCCCGGUCCCUGUGGCAGGGCCCCUUGAACAGCUGUCUGCUGGGUAAAUAAAAGUUCGUCAGAGGAGACUGCCUGGACCAUGUUCACUGCAGAGGGACCCCUGGGGUUGUGGGCCAGAGGUUGGAAUAGUUAGUGUCUAGCUUUCUUUGUGGUGGGUUUGCCCACUAUGUCCUCCAGUCAAGUCUACCUCAUGUACCUACUGCUCUUCUGGCUAGAAAAACAUAGACGUACUAUACUUUAGAUUUUUCCACGUCCAGCCUAGUGACACGUGACCUCCGUUUGUUCCUUAAAUCCAACAGUUUUUGUUGUUGUUUGUUGUUGUUUUGUUUUUCUCAGACAGGGUUUCUCUGUAUAACAGCCUGGCUGUCCUGGAACUUCCUCUGUAGACCAGGCUGACCUCGAACUCACAGAGACUCCUGCUUCCUGAGUGCUGGGAAUCAAGACCUACGCUACCACACUCAGCCGAGUCCAGCCUUUCUUUUCUGUCACCUCAGUAUUUGACUUUACGAACAGUAAAGUGAUAGCUUUGUGAUGGUGUCUCUCAGCGAUACAUUCUGGGUGAAGUAGCGAUGGCGAUUUUUCUACUUCAGUCACUUUUCACCAUUGACUAUUUGGCAUCUUCCUAUAAAGACGUUUCCUUUCU
rnacentral:lncRNA from 1 species